UAAUACAGAGGGUGCAAGCGUUAAUCGGAAUGACUGGGCGUAAAGGGCACGUAGGCGGCUAGAUGUGUUAUAGGUGAAAUCCCCGGGCUUAACCUGGGAACUGCCUAUAAAACUGUGUAGCUAGAAUAUAGUAGAGGUAAGUGGAAUUUCCGGUGUAGCGGUGAAAUGCGUAGAUAUCGGAAAGAACACCAGUGGCGAAGGCGACUUACUGGACUAAUAUUGACGCUGAGGUGCGAAAGCGUGGGGAGCAAACGGG
rnacentral:rRNA from 1 species